ensembl:lncRNA
GCAGCUUUGUUUAAAAGUGGGGAAACUAUUCAUUAUUAAUGGAAAUUAAAAACCUGAGAUACUUGGGGAAGAGUUCAAGAAGACAAACUUGACAGCUGCAGUAGAGGCAAUACAGUACAACAUGCAGUGAUGUCAAUGCUGUAAAGGCCUCCUGGCCCAACAGACUCCUCAUACAUCAUUCUAUUUAUCAUUUGUCAAUCUUUGUCUCAAGCAACUCGUUAUCUUGGUUCUAUUUUGAGGUCUAGUGACCUCAUAUCUCCAAAGUUCCACUCACAGCCCAGCUUCUCUCUCUCUUUUUUUUUUUUUUUUUUUUUUUUUUCCUGGGAUUGCUUUGUUUGAAAGGAAAGGAUGUAGCCUGGACAUUCAGCUGAUGUGUACCUUUUCAUACACUGCUAUUUUUCUCACAUAGCUUCCUCCUGCAUACUGGUACUCAGACUUUGUGCUGGACAGAAGAGGAGUCCACAGAACCUGGCAGGAGGCCUGGCUUUGAAUUACAUGCUGACAGCUCAUUUUUCAUACCAGAGGGAAGGCAAAGUCGGCCUGUGAGCCUCACCUCACCAUAAGACAGGUGAGCAGAGAUGCCGGUGAUAGCAUGAAGCACACUGUACAUCACUCCUCUGUGAAGAGAAAAUGUUCCUCAAGCCUCUGACUACAGCAGUUAGUUUGAUGGGCCCGUUUUUCAAUUAGGCACCAGGCCAUCAGUUCUUUGUACUUUAUAGGGCUUAUGCAUUCAGCCAUCAGCCACCCAGGCAUGGUGGCAUGUCACAAACACUCACACAGUGAAAGCACCUCAGAGAAGUACCACCUUGGCAUUUACUGCCGGAGUGGGAAACACCCACCUUGAACAUCUGGAGGUUGGUGUCUGGCACUGCCCACCUGGGCACUAGCACACAUCACUCUGCUGGGAUCCUGAGAGUGGCUGUUAGGAUCAACAAGUAGUGGAAGAUGGGGCAAGCUGUGGAGGGGCCCAGACACCUUAGGGAGCUUCUAGUCUCGCUGGAAUGGGAGCAGUUGGCUCUUGUCUGUACCAGGCUCGCAGGGCCUGUCCUGCCCUGACAACCUGGUGAGCACUGCCAGGGUUGAAUGAGCUGUCCCUGUGCUUUAGCUGGUGCCAGGACAGGUCCCAGCCAGGCAGGUGCAGGGACAGAGAUGAACAUGGGGCAACACAGGCUGAACAGGAGUGACCCACUGGGCAUAAGCCUUUACUGACACACUAUGGGGACUGCCAUGUCAGAAGAUUUAUUAAUAAAAAAAGUCACAAUAACUUACUCCCUUUGCUGGACAAAGGGCUUGGUAUAAAGCGCUCUGGCCUCCUAAAGUAAGACAGGUGGGAGGUGGGUGAGUGUCUCUUGUCCUCUGAGGUCAUGGCCAUCUCCUGCCCCAGAGGGGGAGUGCAGAUGCAGAGUAUAUGGAGACCACAGGCACCAGAUGCCAGAGGAUGCGGGAAGUGCAGUGGAAAAGGAGAGAAGGUCUGCUUCUUUCUAUGGUGCUGAGGGGUCUGUGGAGCAAAACAGCUGAAGCAGCAGGACAGCACCUGCCUACAGGCAGGGGGAUGUGGAGCUGGCUGGAAGCAGCCCUGCCUGCCACCUCACACAAGGUCUAGCCUGGCAGAGGCAGGAGGUUGGCUGUAGCUACUUGUCACACUCAAGAUCCUGGGCCCCCUCAGCACCCUGGUAGUGAGUCUCGCAGAACUCCUGGAUGCGACUGCAGGCCUCCAAGAUCAUCUCCUCAGGUACAGUGAUUACCACACGGAAGAAGUUUGGGUACUCAAAGCACUGAAAUGAUAAAGAAUGAGACUGGCAGAUUAUUUGGGAUACUGUUGCUGUCUCAGAGCCCUGCCUUGGGGCCACAUUCUAUAUCAACAAGUGAAAAUGGUCAGCACAGAACACAGAGUGAGGAUGGCAUGGUUGUACUCUCACUCCAUUAGACUGAUUGUUCCAUUCCAAGCAUAUCUCCCAGCUCCCUCUGUAAAACUUAUUAGUGCAGACAUAAUGCUGUGCCAGUCACAGGCCAAAGCACUGUAUGGACAGGGAACAGUCCAUAAAGAGGUAGGGAUUCCUCCCUUCUCCUCAAAGGGUUAGAGAGGAUCAGAGCUGGAGAGUGUCUGAGGUCUUAGGAAUCAGUGCAGGAUGUACAGCAGGAUGGACGUAGGCACAGACAUGAUUCUCAGGUCUGUAGUCUCUUCCUACAAGAGUGGGAGACUGGAAAUGGAGCAUGUGAAGGAGCACAGGUGGGAGCAGUCCCAAGGCCUCUGAGAGAGUGACUUCAACAAGGAGGUAUGGGGGUACCUACAGUUCAGGGAUACAACUCUGCCAACAUCUGAAAUAAAGAGCAAGUCUGGGACAAUCCUGGCAGCUUGAUCAAGGACUGUUAGUGAGCUGGAACUUGCCAGUUGCCAUCCCUACAGUGCACUUGGACCUCACAGGCAGUACAUACAUACCAUUACAGACCAUGGACAUUGCAUACUAGAUUCCCAGACUGUCCCCAGAGCUCAAGGAUGCAAACUCUUAUUGUUUCUCUCCCUGUGCUUAGAGCCCAGAGAUGCUUGGGGCUCUCAGAGUCAGGGGCUCUCAGUGUCAGACUCACCGUAGCUGGCAGACAAAACACAGACUGCUCCGAGAUGAGCCGCUCAGUGAACUCCACGUCAUUUUCAAACUCAGGAAAAUGCUCCAUUUCAAUUUCAACCUGCAGUAAAAGGAUAAAACAUGGCAACCAAUACUAUAUACCAUGUCCCUGUUUACCCACAUUGCUCAACAAUUCCCCAACUAAGUGCAGCUGUCUGUCCUCAGAAACUUUUGCUCAUCAUUUGGGCUGAGUUGAACAUGAGAGACAAACAGAAACAUAUCAAUGAAAACUGGAGCAUUUUUAAGAAGUAAAGUAAAUGUAAAACUAACUGCCCAAAGCUGGAAUUUCAGUUAAGGACAACUUUAGUCAAAAGCUGGUAGCAUGGAUACCAGAACCAAUUAGAAAUGAGAAGGGAUAAAUAAGAUAAGGAAAAAAAGUGUGAAAGAGAACUCAACCCAAUAUCUACCAGUAAUUCCAUCAUGCAAGAAAUCCAUAAGGUAAGAAAAAGAGAUUGAAGAUAAAUUAAUGAGGGUUUUUUUUGUUGUUGUUGUUGUUUGUUUGUUUUAAGACAGCAAGGCCUAGAAUACUAUGGAGAAAAUAAUUCUUUGUGGUGAUGAAAUAAG